rnacentral:rRNA from 1 species
CAGCCGCCGCGGUAAUACGUAGGGUGCGAGCGUUAAUCGGAUUUACUGGGCGUAAAGCGUGCGCAGGCGGCCCGUUAAGACAGGUGUGAAAUCCCUGGGCUCAACCUAGGAAUUGCGCUUGUGACUGGCGGGCUCGAGUACGGUAGAGGGGGGUGGAAUUCCUGGUGUAGCAGUGAAAUGCGUAGAGAUCAGGAGGAACACCGAUGGCGAAGGCAGCCCCCUGGGCCUGUACUGACGCUCAUGCACGAAAGCGUGGGGAGCAAACAGGAUUAGAUAACCUGGUAGUCCACGCCCUAAACGAUGGGUACUAGCCGUUUGGUGCGCGAUAGCGCUGAGUGGCGAAGCUAACGCGUGAAGUACCCCGCCUGGGGAGUACGGCCGCAAGGUUGAAACUUAAAGGAAUUGGCGGG